rnacentral:rRNA from 1 species
AAGCGUGGGUAGCGAACGGGAUUAGAUACCCCGGUAGUCCACGCCGUAAACGAUGCAUACUAGGUGUUGGCCUUUCGGGGCCAGUGCUGCAGUUAACGCAUUAAGUAUGCCACCUGGGGAGUACGUCGGCAACGAUGAAACUCAAAGGAAUUGACGGGGAUCCGCACAAGCGGUGGAGCAUGUGGCUUAAUUCGAUGCAACGCGAGGAACCUUACCUGGGCUAAAU